rnacentral:lncRNA from 1 species
CUUCGGCCCGCUCGCCGUCUGCCAAUGGGAUCUGUCAGGGCUCCUGGGCCAGCGGCCUCGGGGGCGGGGCCUCGGAAGCCCGUGGGAAACCGCACUCCGAUUGGAGCUGCGGACAAUCGCUCCGCCUCCGGGCAGCCAAUCGGAGGCGGAGAAUACAGGAGCGGGGCGUUCGGAGUUGGGCUGGAGAGUGACAAGAGGCGCACGCUGGACACCUGAGCGGCGUCCGGCCCCGGGUGGGCGCUGUGGCUGGAGGGAUGCUGGCGAUGCACACUCCCGGGUGCCUUCGCACCAGACCCUGGCGGCGCAACCCGGAGAAACCGCGGCAAGGAUGGCGAGGCGUGCAGGCGCCGGCCACAGCGAGGGAGCCCUUAACAAAGCAGCUUCGGGAGGGCCGGGUGGCCUCCGCCUUCUCCUCCAAUAGGUCCUUGAGGCUGCCUGUCACCGUGCAUAGGUGGAGGUGGCCAAUGACGUCCGCGAAUGAGCUGGAGUUGGCGCGCGCGCGCGGCUCGGCGGCAGUGGGAUUGGUCCGAGGGAAAAGGGGUGAGAAGUCCCAGAAAAGACAUUAAAGUCCAGGAAAACUUCUGAGCCAUCAGCAACCUUCAGCAACAAAGAAAAAGACAGGAGAAGCCCAGAUGUGCAGACAGCCACAUCCAAGGAACAAAAGCCACACCAUCAAGGUCACACUCAAGGAACUUAAGUGUGCCUCCUUGCAAUUUGCUUCAUUGCCUUUUAUUUUCCCUGGAACGGCAUUUUGUGGAGACACUCUCCUACUUGGCUGCGAACAGGAUCAGCAACACUUCUGCAGAAUUGGCAGGAACCAUGCUGUGGAAUAUUUCAGAAACUCCAAGGCAAAGGGGACAAACAAACAACGCCCCCCACCCCCAUCUCAAAUGCAUUUUUACAGAAAGGAGAUGGAAAUAAAAAAAAAAAAAAAAAAAAACAAUCACUGAGGACGCAGCCAGGGGUCCCCGGGAGAAAUCCCAUUUGAUUCUUCUGCUUCAGCUCAUUCUGUC